CAUAGGCUAAUGAUUUAAGAGGCAGUGACUCUUUCUUCUUGUUCAAAGGGCAAUCUUUUAUUUUAUGAUCCAACUUUCUACAAGCAAAAUAGACUCCAGUCACCCGAAAACAUAAAUUUGUUUCAUAAUUUAACUUGUAAUUCACACAUGAUUGAGUCUUUUAUGGUGACUUCCCAUUUCAAAUCCAAAUGUCUUGACCCUCUUUUUAUUACUUUC
rnacentral:lncRNA from 1 species